UACGGAGGGUGCAAGCGUUAUCCGGAUUUACUGGGUUUAAAGGGUGUGUAGGCGGGCUAUUAAGUCCGUGGUGAAAUCUCUGGGCUCAACCCAGAAACUGCCAUGGAUACUAUUAGUCUUGAAUAUUGUGGAGGUGCGCGGAACGGGUCAUGUAGCGGUGAAAUGCAUAGAGAUGACCCGGAACACCGAUUGCGAAGGCAGCGCACUACGCAAUGAUUGACGCUGAGGCACGAAAGCGUGGGGAUCAAACAGG
rnacentral:rRNA from 1 species